AUCAUAUUAGGUGAACAAAUUCAA
rnacentral:siRNA from 1 species